GAGCCUAAGCUACCAGGCUACUUAAUUCAGAAACUCCAAACCACCAGCUGGAACAUCUUUCAGAUGACCAGAUCCCACUGACAUAGAAUUGGCAACAACAGCCAGAGCUGACACACCUCCUCCAUCACGGCGCUCUUUCUUGCUGAGCCAGGACAAAACCCCAGGUUCCCUCUCAAGAACUGCUCCCAUCCCCAUACCACCAUAUUUAGCCAAAGGACUGCAGAGAGCACGUUCACGUUUCACUUAUGUAAUAUACCACCACAAGAUGAGGAGGAGGAGGUGGAGCCAGAGAAAGAAGUCAAAAAAGCUCGUCGUGUCGUUCGCCGUACGAAGACGUUAGAACUAGAUACGGACUGGAUCAACAGCAAGCUUAAGGUAAUGC
rnacentral:lncRNA from 1 species